CGCGGCACGGGCCGGGCCCGCCAGGCCUCGGGGUUGCGCGCCAGCGGCUCGCCUGAGGUGAACUGCGGGAGGCGGGAACGCGCUCUGCCCCGACCCCCGCCCCGCCCUCCUUUGGUGGAUGUCAGUCCUCGAAGAAAACACGCCCAAGUACUGUGAGCUACUGGUCGCCUUCAGUACGGUCUGUGAGCAGUUCUGCCCCUAGGAAGUCUCAUCACGGGAGGAAGCAGGCAAUAGCACUUCGAUACUCUUAUGCUGGUCAGACAAGUAGAGCUGGAAAUACAGGCAGCUGGGGAAGAACACCUGGAAGGAGGCUGAUGAAGAGUCCUUAGAAGGAUUUGCAAAUAGUCAUGACUGAGCAAUUGGUGAGAUCUUCUACCUGCUCUUCAAACUGAUGUUGACCUCAGCCUCAAUGGGUCUGGGCCUCUGGUGUGGUGCAAGAUGCAUGCCUCACCUUUCUGUUGGAGACCUGAGGUCUUUCUGAAGAACCAGGGACUCUUUUGUACACUAAACCAAAGUUGAGGUGUUCAUGGCCUCAAGGAGCUUAUCCCCAAGUAGGCUUGGUGAGGAUAACUGAGAUAGCUGGGCCAACAUGCCAUACUGAGGCAAAAAAUGUGAAAAACACACUGAGAGAAAUGGCCCCAUUGGUUCCCUAUGGUACCUUCUAAUGGAUCCUAAUUAGAAGCUGUCACUUCUUGUUACAGGAAGGAAGGUAUGGUUCAGCUUUCCCAACCCUUAAUGUUGGAGAGGCUGAGAUGAGAGCUGCCCCUGAGAAUUGUUUAAUUUAAGGCACUUGUUUGCUAAAUGUUUGUACCCC